UGGGGAAUUUUGGACAAUGGGCGAAAGCCUGAUCCAGCAAUGCCGCGUGUGUGAAGAAGGCCUUCGGGUUGUAAAGCACUUUUGUCCGGAAAGAAAUCCUUGGCUCUAAUACAGUCGGGGGAUGACGGUACCGGAAGAAUAAGCACCGGCUAACUACGUGCCAGCAGCCGCGGUAAUACGUAGGGUGCAAGCGUUAAUCGGAAUUACUGGGCGUAAAGCGUGCGCAGGCGGUUUGCUAAGACCGAUGUGAAAUCCCCGGGCUCAACCUGGGAACUGCAUUGGUGACUGGCAGGCUAGAGUAUGGCAGAGGGGGGUAGAAUUCCACGUGUAGCAGUGAAAUGCGUAGAGAUGUGGAGGAAUACCGAUGGCGAAGGCAGCCCCCUGGGCCAAUACUGACGCUCAUGCACGAAAGCGUGGGGAGCAAACAGGAUUAGAUACCCUGGUAGUCCACGCCCUAAANGAUGUCAACUAGUUGUGGGAUUCAUUCCUUAGUAACGUAGCUAACGCGUGAAGUUGACCGCCUGGGGAGUACGGUCGCAAGAUUAAAACUCAAAUGAAUUGACGGGGUCAUAGCUGUUU
rnacentral:rRNA from 1 species